UCACUUUUACGGUGCUUCUCCGGAGAUACGUGUUCAUAAUAAUCGAGUCCAGUGUGAAGGCGAGCAAUGACACACAGCCAUGUCAGAAUCACUACGGCGUUAUUUAUCUUCGCGAACUUCAAAUUCGGUGAUGUCACAUCUGAGAUCAUUGUCCAGUCUAAUGGGAACUUCACACUACAGCCUAAUGUUCAGGGUACUCUGGAGGAAAUUUUGUGGAGGUGGAAUAA